AGUGUCCGAAGCAAGGUGGCAUUGUGGAGUGCGGGUAUUAUGUGAUGCGAUUCAUGCGGGAUAUAAUAUUGUCAAGCAACAGGACAAUCAUUGAAGUAAUGGAAGGAUCAACCUCAACAUACUCACAGGACGAUUUAGAUGUCGUAAGAACGGAGUGGGCUGAAUUCGUUAACAAAUAUAUUUUCUGUUCCCAAUCUCAAAGGUAAUUGAAGAAUAGAUGGAUCAUGGUAUCGAUCAAGUUCAUUCCUACAUUAGUUUGAUUAGAUUAGGUCGUACAUAUAUUACAGUUAAUUUAUCUUUUGGAUUAUUGGAAAACCUUUACCGAC